rnacentral:rRNA from 1 species
AGGAUGAACGCUGGCGGUAUGCUUAACACAUGCAAGUCGAACGGGAGACUUCGGUUUCUAGUGGCGGACGGGUGAGUAACGCGUGAGAAUCUGCCUUUAGGACGGGGACAACAGUUGGAAACGGCUGCUAAAACCCGAUGUGCCCUUCGGGGUGAAAUAUUUAUAGCCUGAAGAUGAGCUCGCGUCUGAUUAGCUAGUAGGUGAGGUAAAGGCUCACCUAGGCGACGAUCAGUAACUGGUCUGAGAGGAUGACCAGUCACACUGGGACUGAGACACGGCCCAGACUCCUACGGGAGGCAGCAGUGGGGAAUUUUCCGCAAUGGGCGCAAGCCUGACGGAGCAAUACCGCGUGAGGGAGGAAGGCUCUUGGGUCGUAAACCUCUUUUAUCAGGGAAGAACACAAUGACGGUACCUGAUGAAUCAGCAUCGGCUAACUCCGUGCCAGCAGCCGC